AGAUGCUACCCAACCUGCUGACUUCCUCCAGCAUAAUGUUUGCUGCUCUUGUAUGGUUUCUUUAUACAUUUAUGACCAUCUUCAAUGAAAUCACUUCUUUAAUACAUCACUCUGGUAUUUACAAUAUUAAUUCCCAAAAUAUGCACUGUACUUAUAGCAAUGCAAAGUUCAAUAUUUUGUUUAAAUCAGCACUUCAGAAGAGUAGCAGAACAAAUUAUUCCUCCAUCAGCUCCAGAGCCUAACAAGCAAAUGUUACCUGAAUAUACUAAAUUGGGCCUUUGUUGAUUUAUUGAUCAAACUGAGUGCAUUCUGCUCAAAGCUUUGGCAAGAAAAGAUCUAUUCUUGACCAGCUGGUCUUCAGGUCAUUUAAGAAGGCUUGAGAAAGUCCCAUAGAGUGCACAAUAGAGUUCAGAAUUGAAACUGGAAGGAUUGAAAGAGUUCUGUUACAGGGAGAGAUUGCAGAAGCCAGGUUUUAUUUGUAGCAGAAAUGGUGAAGAUGUCAAAUAAGAAAAAGCAGCACUAUUCAAUUAUAUCUUGGCGGAUCUUGGGACACCAUUUUCCUGCAGGAUCUCUGUAUCCCUUCAUUCCCUCGAUGUUCAGGAACCUCUUGUUUUGAAGUUCUUCCUGAACAACGCCAGUCUCUGUCGUGAUUUAACUCACGGUUUGAGUCUUUGGGUCUAGGGUACCGACAUUUUCCCUUCUUCCAUCCUUUAUUCCAAGACCGUGACGCCUGGUUGGGGAAACAUCCUCCAUGUCUCCACACACUUUAGCCCUGUAUGAGUUUUGUAAACUCUCGAAUAAUGGAGAAUACAUUUAUUGUCUACUCAACCUCUCCUUCUCAGGAACCGGUUUUUACAACGGUGCUCAGAAAAACGAAGGAUGCGACCGGUGAAAGUUCAUUCCCCUAGCAACAGGGUCAGUGACUCUUGUAGCGAGAGAAGAUAAUGUGAAUGAUGACAAUUGACUCUGCCCUAACUUAUUCAGCUAAUUUACAAAAGGUACUUGGAGAGUGGAAUGAAGUGAGAGCUUGAGGGUGAAUCUCACUUGUAAAAGGACGGGCAACCACAAGUCCGGCCGAACAGUUUCAUGAUUUCAUCUGACUUCCUUCAUGAGUCAUUUAAGUCAGUUCUAAAUUAACUUGCCCCACGCUCACGGGACCGACUUCCGCUAAAUCCCUUGGAAUUAGAAAGGCUGACCGACUUGCUGAUUACCUUCAACAUCUUCCGAUUUUAUUGACUAAUGAAGGUGAAUCUGUGGAUAUGUUGAAAAAAGGAGCAACAAGAGGGUAGAUCAGGGACCUGUCCUUCUCCUGUCCAGUAUGUUAAUUGAUACUCAUGCUGAGAGAACGGCCUGAUGAAGUUUCAGACUUGGAGAUGAGUGCCUCCAAGAAUAGUGAGAAGAGUGACUGGAGUCCUAUCAGGAUUUUUGAUCUACAGUAAUGCUCAAAAACUGCAGUUCUGCAUGACAGCAUGUUCCCGUUCUUGGAACUUGCCAGUCGGCUGCAUUUCUGUAUGUCCAGUUUCAGACUGAAUACGGGCAAUUUUGGGGUCUACGUGGCCCUGUGGAUAUAAAUUCAUGCCAGUGUCAUGUACUACAGUGUAGUGGGAGCUGGAACAUCGAAGACAGCGAGAGUGGCUUUCGAAGGGCUCAGCACUCGGUGAUCGAUUUUCUGAUUCUCGAGUCAGGGAACUCGAAAUUUAAAAAAAGUAACAUUUCAACCUGAUAGUAACAUUGAAAUAGCGACUGUUGUCUCCCCGUCGCUGUGGAAGGAGCGAUAUCUGCCUCGCCCUUGUUAGCGGGAGAGACUGAGCCUCUGGGAUGUUGAAAUGCUGGUGUGUACAGCUAGUUUCUGGUGGGCCGUAGAUCAUGA